ACGAAGGGGGCGAGCGUUGUUCGGAGUUACUGGGCGUAAAGGGCGCGUAGGCGGCGGACCAAGUUAGGCGUGAAAGCCCCGGGCUCAACCUGGGAAUAGCGCUUAAGACUGGUUUGCUUGAGUGCGGGAGAGGUGAGUGGAAUUCCCAGUGUAGAGGUGAAAUUCGUAGAUAUUGGGAAGAACACCAGUGGCGAAGGCGGCUCACUGGCCCGCAACUGACGCUGAGGCGCGAAAGCGUGGGGAGCAAACAGGA
rnacentral:rRNA from 1 species